UCUACCCAGUGAUUAAUUUAAACGGUUAUAAAUUAUAUUAAAGUAGCGUAAUAAUUUAUCAUUUAAUUAAUGAAUAUAAUGAAGAUUUUAUGAGUUAAAUACUGUCUCUAAAAUAUAAAACAAAAUUAAUAAUUCAGUGAAAAAGCUUAAUUAUUUUUAAAAGACGAUAAGACCCUAUAGAACUUAUUUAAAGUUUUAAAUUUACUGGGGAAGUAAAAAUAAAAGUAAAAUUAUUUUUAAAUAUAUAAACUAUAAGUUUUUAUAACCAC
rnacentral:rRNA from 1 species